GAUGAACGCUGGCGGCGUGCUUAACACAUGCAAGUCGAACGAGAAAUGGAGACGGAAACCUUCGGGCGGAAGGCUUCAUUUCGAGUGGCGGACGGGUGAGUAACGCGUGGGUAACCUGCCUCAUACAGGGGGAUAACAGUUGGAAACGACUGUUAAUACCGCAUAAGACCACAGCACCGCAUGGUGCGGGGGUAAAAACUCCGGUGGUAUGAGAUGGACCCGCGUUCGAUUAGCCAGUUGGCGGGGUAACGGCCCACCAAAGCGACGAUCGAUAGCCGAUCUGAGAGGAGGGCCGGCCACAUUGGGACUGAGACACGGCCCAAACUCCUACGGGAGGCAGCAGUGGGGAAUAUUGCACAAUGGGGGAAACCCUGAUGCAGCGACGCCGCGUGAGUGAAGAAGUACUUCGGUAUGUAAAGCUCUAUCAGCAGGGAAGAAAAUGACGGUACCUGAGUAAGAAGCCCCGGCUAACUACGUG
rnacentral:rRNA from 1 species